GAAUUUUAAUGAAUUUAUAUGUUUUCCUCUGCUUUUCAGUGUUUGUAGGUGAUUAGAGCUGAACAUGGAAAAGUUUUUGCGACUUUUAGACAUGUUGGACCUCUCAAGGUUGAUGUGAAAUUUGGAUCGUUGGAGGGAGCAAUUGGGCCGUUGGCUUUUUGAGGUACAAAAAGGUCCUCAUGAUGUGGAUGCAGAGACUAUUAAAAUGAGCAUGUUUAGCUGCCAAAAUCCAAAAAGACAAUGACAGGGAUUAUGAAGGGAGAGGAAGAGGAAGGAGAGGAUGAGUAAGUAGUUGUUUUGGAAUA